rnacentral:rRNA from 1 species
UACGCUGGCGGCACGCCUAACACAUGCAAGUCGAACGCAGUAGCAAUACUGAGUGGCAAACGGGUGAGUAUAAUGUGGGAAUCUGCCUUUUGGUUUGGAAUAACACGGGGAAACUUGUGCUAAUACCGGAUAAGCCCUUACGGGGAAAGUUUUAACGCCGAAAGAUGAGCCUGCACUUGAUUAGCUAGUUGGUAAGGUAAAAGCUUACCAAGGCAACGAUCAAUAGCUGUUCUUAGAGGAAGACCAGCCACAUUGGGACUGAGACACGGCCCAGACUCCUACGGGAGGCAGCAGUGGGGAAUCUUGCACAAUGGGGGAAACCCUGAUGCAGCGAUGCCGCGUGAGUGAAGAAGGCCUUUGGGUUGUAAAACUCUUUCGUCGGGGAAGAAAAUGACUGUACCCGAAUAAGAAGGUCCGGCUAACUUCGUGCCAGCAGCCGCGGUAAUACGAAGGGACCUAGCGUAGUUCGGAAUUACUGGGCUUAAAGAGCUCGUAGGUGGUUAAAAAAGUUGAUGGUGAAAUCCCAAGGCUCAACCUUGGAACUGCCAUCAAAACUUUUUAGCUAGAGUGUGAUAGAGGUAAGUGGAAUUUCUAGUGUAGAGGUGAAAUUCGUAGAUAUUAGAAAGAACACCAAAUGCGAAGGCAACUUACUGGGUCACUACUGACACUGAGGAGCGAAAGCAUGGGUAGCGAAGAGGAUUAGAUACCCUCGUAGUCCAUGCCGUAAACGAUGUGUGCUAGACGUUGGAAAUAUAUUUUUCAGUGUCGCAGCGAAAGCAUUAAGCACACCGCCUGGGGAGUACGACCG